UGAUCUGGUAAUCAAGCAGUUUGGAGGCAUUCACUCACAGUGUGGCAGUGGAGAGGACUGUGUGGAGUGUCUUGAGACACCAUGCUGGGCUUACAACAAACAAAUGGACUUGCUCAAAGAAAGAGGAAGGAGCCGGUGAGCUUCUGAUGUAUUCUGUUUAUGGAAAUGUGUGGAUUAAAAUCAUGUGGUUAAAAUUUAAGUCAAAAUGUCAUGUUAGAGGAUCAUGUGGUUAAAACCUGAAGAAAAUGUCAUGUUUAAUGUCAUGUGGAUUUAAAAUUACUAAUGAUAAAAAGACUACUCACUUUGAGUUAAAGCAGGAAAUUUAAAAGGCGGUACAAAAACAUGGUUCUCAACAGGUGCAAGGAGGAAAUUUAAUCAUCGGGUGUUUUCAUAAAUGAUUUAUGAACUUAUUUAUUCUAUUUAUGUUUAAUUUUUUGUUAAUAUAAUGUAAAUAUGUUGGAGACUGACUGUUUAUUGACUAGCGGAGAAGGGGUAGGUUUAAAGAAAACCAUUAUGCUUCAUCCUACUUCUUUUCAGACAUGUUGGGUUCACGUUAUUAUCCCUCAGGGGCUCUUAGGAUGUUGUUUUUGUCCAUUUUUGGUGACUCUUUACCUUUUUAUUUGUUUUGGCUGUGUUAAUGCAAGUGGGAUGAUUUUUUUUCAGGGUUAUUUUUUUUUUCCAAAUUUUAAAACCUGACCACCCAUCAUUAUAUCAGGUCAAUAUUCACUGUGUGACAAAAACACCAUACAUUUAGGUCCUUAGAUGGACAAAAUGUCCAUCUCCUAAAAGUACCAAAAACUAUUAUACAUGAAUAUUUUUUUUCCACUUUUAGUGCCUAAAUCUUUAAUCAACUUCAUUGCUGAUCAUAUCGAUCAAAUAUUGAUUCAUUUUCAGUUUUAACCCUUUAAAUGCCAGUUUGACUGUAUGAUGUCACUGUUAUUUUUCAUGGGAAAAAAAGAGAGUUAUUUUCCAUAUUUAAGAUGCUGGGCAGGAAUUUCUUUCUUUAUUUUUUAUCAAGGUCUAUGAUGUGCCAAUAAUUAACAACAUUAAUUUAGAUGCAUUAUGUUUGAUAUAUUGUCCGAUUUCUAAAAAAGUUACACUUAGAUCUAACUAAAAAAAUCUUUUGGUUCGAGUGUUUAAGAGAAAUCAGACAAUACAUCAAACAAAAUAAUGCAUCAUAAUUAAUGUUGUUGUUAAUAAUUGGCAUAUCAUAGGCUGCCAGAGGUGGGAAAAAAAAUCAGCAUCUAAUAUAUGGAAAAUAACUCCAAAUUCUUUUUUUUUUUCACAUUAAAAAUAACAGUGACAUGAUAUAUUCAAACUGGCAUUGAAAGGGUUAAAAUUCUGAACAUGAAUUAAUAUUUGAUAGAUAUGAUCAGGAAUGAAGUUGAUUAAAAGAUUUAAGCAAAAAAGUGGAAAAAAUAUUAAUGUAUGAUAAUUUUAUAUCAUUUUUAGGAGAUGGACAUUAUUGUCCAUCGAAAGACCUAAGUGUAACUAUUUUUCAAGGACCCCAGAGGGUUAUUCAUAUCACUCUGUAUCUCUCUUUUGCUUUGUCCAUCUCCUCCUGCUUCUAUUGUCACCAGGUUUUGACAGAACCUCCAUCUAUCUGCUGCCUCAUUGUUGAUGGCUCUGACCUUGUGCCACUUGGGUCACCUCCAUCCUUAUCAGUACUACGACUCUCUUGCUUCACCUCCACCGCCAUUAUCCAGCAGCCAUCCUCAUAGCUUUGUCAGAUAUGAAGACAUCACAGUGCGGUGAAAUGAACAAAGACACUGUAGAUUGUGCAGCACUGUAAGCAAUCCCAUCUCUCGUGGCCAUGUCUCCUAUUUGGCAGUGAAUGACCUUGAAAACCUUUCACAAUAUUAAGGAGAAGCAGCAUGGAAGUCUUGAUGCUUCACAGGAAAUAGAAAAUAGUGUGUAUGCUAAUUCUGGACUGUUUUAUUGAGACUUGUAUCUCCUCUUCUGGAUGUUGGUGGUUUGUUGGUGGUGAUGAAACAGAGACUAUUCUUAGCACCACCUUUGACCCUUUCAAGUUGCAUUGAUAUAAAUUUAUGCAUUUAUUCAUCCUUGACCUUAACAGUAAAUUUUUUGAGUGAAUGCUGGAGGCUGUUGGGGGGGAUUUUUCUUACCCUCAAACUGAAUCAUAUGAGAAACAUCUGUAACAUCUGGUGAGAGUGUUUGAACAUCCCCGUCACUUCCAGCUAUAAGGGGAAAAAAAAGUUGAGAAUUGGCGUCAUCUUCUCAGAAUCGAUGAGUAAACUUCACAGCUGCCAAAGUUUAUCGUGAGUGUUUUAAAAAGAGCGAUUUGUUGAUGCCAGAUGUUUAGAGAUCAUAUCAACAGAGGGGUGAGCCAACAGAUCAUUGAUGCAAACGGUACAGCAUGAUUGAACAUAAAAGGCCAGUAGGUGAAG